rnacentral:lncRNA from 1 species
AGAGCGGUCUAGCGAUUGGCGCACCCGUCAUGUGAGCUUCGUAGUUAAGCGUGUAGAGGUAAGGGAGGAUCUUGUAUCUCAUACCAAGAGCGUUACGAGCUGACUCAGCAACCGUGGCCCAUUGGUAAAGCUCUUGUCUUGGAGAGUAGUAGUUAGCGUGAUCUCUCGAAAACGGGUAGAACGCUCCCACUUCGAUCCAACGGUUACAGAGCUCCUCCGUUGGUUGAGGGUAGAAUCCACAAAUGUCUGCACCAACCAUAGGAACACCGAAGAUUCCGAAGUUCAACAUCGUUGAGAUAGACACUUGCAAGCUCUGCCACGUUCCUUGGUUAUCUCCGGUCCAGUGAGCAGCGUAUUUACCCGAACCAACAAAAGUAGACCGGGACAAAAUGAAAGGACGUUUCCCUUCGAUAGAGAGUAAACCCUUGUGUGUGGCAACGGUCUCGGAGAAUCCGUAGAUACUAUGAGCGUCAUACUCUCUUACACCGUUGUAAUGUAAAGCACUUGUUGCAAUCGUCUUGAAACCGAUGGGAGCUUGAACUCCAGUAGCGUUGAUCUUGUAAGGAGGUUCAUCCCAUCUCGUCUUGGUUAUAUUCUUGCAGUCCAAGCAACAGAUCCAACCAGGCCCUUCCCCAGUUGGACACUUCUUCCCUUUAGGGAUUGUGCACAAUCCAGAGCAAAAGUUCGAAACCUCGUUCAUGUCGAUCCAUAGACCAUCUAUAGGGACUAGUUCAUGGAAGCGGCGGAUUUCUUCACCCCACCAAGCAACAGUCUUGGGGUUGAGGAAAUCAGGAAAGUGGACCGCGCCGGGCCAUACUUGGGCCAAGAAAGGCUUUCCUUCAUACUUGAUGAACACGUCAUUCGCCAUACCUCGUUGGUACACACCGUAGCUAGAGUUGACACCAAUACCGGGGUCGUUGAUGACGACAUACUUCAUGCCCAUCUUGUGGAUUUUGUCUAAGAAGUUCAGUAGCUUGGCACGAGGGUAGCUAAUGGGACUCAACGUAAAGUCUUUUUUGGCAUUCAUGUGGUCAUCAUCGUUCCAAAUCACAUCAAGAGGGAUCUUAGCCUUUUGGUAACUGUCGACCACGUCUUCGAUAACUGAUAAGUUACGGUAUCCCCAUCUACAUUGGUGAAAUCCUACAACGUUCAUUCAAACAAAGAUUAGUAUACGCAACUACCCAUUAAUCAAAAAGUAUGGUUUAUGAAUCUGUCACAUGGCCAAAACAAAGAUUUGAUUCUCUUUUUUUUGUCAAGUCAAUAGUAGAACCGUGGACCAGUAUCAAGAUCGUACAGGGACCACGAGUCACCCUAAGGGAAGAAAAAAAAUCAACAAAAGAGGAAAGCAAUGAAACACGUCUUCACGUUCUUUUUAAAUUGGAAACCAUAAUUAGAAAGCGACCUUCACCUAUACACCCACAUGUUGGUCAACUUUCUACAAGUUGUGUCGGAGAAAGAACAGAUCCUCUUUACGAUGAAUUUCAUUACAACAUGUGUUACUUACAAAACACAUAGUUUAGUUUAAAAGCCAGAUCUUCUUUUAAUACAGAACAUUAAUCUAAUAGUUUCUCAGUAGCAAAUGAUACGCAAAUCUACUUUCGCGUGACCAUUCUUUUGACUAAAUAGUCAAACCUUAGAAAAAACCUUCAAAUGUCUCCUACUAAUUACUCGUCAUUAAGCAUGGCCACAAACAUAAUUAUUAAUAACUACCCUAUAGAGCAAAAUCGUCUUCUAAUUUUAUUUAAUUACCACAAAGAUACUCUACAGUUUUCUAAAGAUAAAUGUUUUAAAAAAAACUAAGGAUAUGACGUUUUAUAUAGAUUUUUACUAAUUAAUAAUGAUAAAUUGCAUUUUUAAAAAUAAUUAUGUUUAUUAAAUUGUUACUAAUUAAGAGCGGUCUAGCGAUUGGCGCACCCGUCAUGUGAGCUUCGUAGUUAAGCGUGUAGAGGUAAGGGAGGAUCUUGUAUCUCAUACCAAGAGCGUUACGAGCUGACUCAGCAACCGUGGCCCAUUGGUAAAGCUCUUGUCUUGGAGAGUAGUAGUUAGCGUGAUCUCUCGAAAACGGGUAGAACGCUCCCACUUCGAUCCAACGGUUAC